rnacentral:tRNA from 1 species
GUUAAAGUGGCAGAUAAAUGCAAGGAAUUUAAGCUUCCUUAAUGAGAAUUCCUUUAAUA